UGAGUAACGCGUGGUAACCCUGCCUCAUACAGGGGGAUAACAGUUAGAAAUGACUGCUAACACCGCAUAAUAUAGCGAAACCGCAUGAUUUUUGCUAUCAAAUAUUUAUAGGUAUGAGAUGGGCCCGCGUCUGAUUAGCUAGUUGGUGGGGUAAAAGCCUACCAAGGCGACGACCAGUAGCCGGCUUGAGAGAGUGACCGGCCACAUUGGGACUGAGACACGGCCCAAACUCCUACGGGAGGCAGCAGUGGGGAAUAUUGGACAAUGGGGGAAACCCUGAUCCAGCCGACGCCGCGUGAGUGAAGAAGUAUUUCGGUAUGUAAAGCUCUAUCAGCAGGGAAGAUAAUGACAGUACCUGACUAAGAAGCCCCGGCUAACUACGUGCCAGCCGCCGC
rnacentral:rRNA from 1 species